rnacentral:rRNA from 1 species
CCUACGGGAGGCAGCAGUGAGGAAUAUUGGUCAAUGGACGCAAGUCUGAACCAGCCAUGCCGCGUGCAGGAAGACGGCUCUAUGAGUUGUAAACUGCUUUUGUACGAGGGUAAACGCAGAUACGCGUAUCUGUCUGAAAGUAUCGUACGAAUAAGGAUCGGCUAACUCCGUGCCAGCAGCCGCGGUAAUACGGAGGAUUCAAGCGUUAUCCGGAUUUAUUGGGUUUAAAGGGUGCGUAGGCGGUCGGAUAAGUUAGAGGUGAAAUCCCGAGGCUCAACUUCGGAAUUGCCUCUGGUACUGGUCGGCUAGAGAGUAGUUACGGUAGGCGGAAUGUAUGGUGUAGCGGUGAAAUGCUUAGAGAUCAUACAGAACACCGAUUGCGAAGGCAGCUUACCAAGCUACUUCUGACGUUGAGGCACGAAGGCGUGGGGAGCGAACAGGAUUAGAUACCCGUGUAGUC